rnacentral:rRNA from 1 species
GGGCUGGACCUCUCGGGGUUACAGCCUUGCUGAAUUAUUCACCCUUGUCUUUUGCGUACUUCUUGUUUCCUUGGUGGGUUCGCCCACCACUAGGACAAACAUAAACCUUUUGUAAUUGCAAUCAGCGUCAGUAACAAAUUAAUAAUUACAACUUUCAACAACGGAUCUCUUGGUUCUGGCAUCGAUGAAGAACGCAGCGAAAUGCGAUAAGUAGUGUGAAUUGCAGAAUUCAGUGAAUCAUCGAAUCUUUGAACGCACAUUGCGCCCUUUGGUAUUCCAAAGGGCAUGCCUGUUCGAGCGUCAUUUGUACCCUCAAGCUUUGCUUGGUGUUGGGCGUCUUGUCUCUAGCUUUGCUGGAGACUCGCCUUAAAGUAAUUGGCAGCCGGCCUACUGGUUUCGGAGCGCAGCACAAGUCGCACUCUCUAUCAGCAAAGGUCUAGCAUCCAUUAAGCCUUUUUUUCAACUUUUGACCUCGGAUCAGGUAGGGAUACCCGCUGAACUUAAGCAUAUCAAUAAGCGGAG